rnacentral:rRNA from 1 species
GGAAUAUUGGUCAAUGGGCUUACGCCUGAACCAGCCAAGUCGCGUGAGGGAAGACUGCCCUAUGGGUUGUAAACCUCUUUUGUCAGGGAGCAAUUGGCGCUACGUGUAGCGUUAUCGAGAGUACCUGAAGAAAAAGCAUCGGCUACCUCCGUGCCAGCAGCCGCGGGAAUACGGAGGAUGCGAGCGUUAUCCGGAUUUAUUGGGUUUAAAGGGUGCGUAGGCGGAAUGCCAAGUCAGCGGUAAAAUCGCGGGGCUCAACCUCGCUCCGCCGUUGAAACUGGCGUUCUUGAGUGGGCGAGAAGUAUGCGGAAUGCGUGGUGUAGCGGUGAAAUGCAUAGAUAUCACGCAGAACUCCGAUUGCGAAGGCAGCAUACCGGCGCCCAACUGACGCUGAAGCACGAAAGCGUGGGUAUCGAACAG